rnacentral:rRNA from 1 species
UACCAGCACCCCGAGUGGUCGGGACGAUUAUUGGGCCUAAAGCAUCCGUAGCCGGUUCUACAAGACUUCCGUUAAAUCCACCUGCUUAACAGAUGGGCUGCGGAGGAUACUAUAGAGCUAGGAGGCGGGAGAGGCAAGCGGUACUUAGUGGGUAGGGGUAAAAUCCGUUGAUCCAUUGAAGACCACCAGUGGCGAAGGCGGCUUGCCAGAACGCACUCGACGGUGAGGGAUGAAAGCUGGGGGAGCAAACCGG